AUGAGAAAUGAUAGAUAUACAUGGUAGAUGAUAGAUAGAUAGGACAGAUGGUAGAUUGAUAGACAAAUAGGACACAUGGUAGUUAGGUGGUUAGAUAGGUAGGGCAGAUUGUAGAUGGAUAGAUAGAUAGGACAGGUAGUGGAUAGAUACGACAGGUAGUGAAUAGAUAGAUAGGACAGAUGGUUGAUUGAUGGACAGAUAGAUAGGACAGAUGGUAGAUUGAUAGACAAAUAGGACACAUGGUAGUUAGGUGGUUAGAUAGGUAGGGCAGAUUGUAGAUGGAUAGAUAGAUAGGACAGGUAGUGGAUAGAUAGAUAGGACAGAUGG